rnacentral:tRNA from 16 species
AGUGCCUCAGUGGUGUAUGCAGAGGCCUGGGGAUUGAAUGUCAUUGGUUCAAAUCCCG